rnacentral:rRNA from 1 species
UACGUAGGGUGCAAGCGUUAAUCGGAAUUACUGGGCGUAAAGCGUGCGCAGGCGGUUGUGCAAGACCGAUGUGAAAUCCCCGGGCUUAACCUGGGAAUGGCAUUGGUGACUGCACGGCUAGAGUGUGUCAGAGGGGGGUAGAAUUCCACGUGUAGCAGUGAAAUGCGUAGAGAUGUGGAGGAAUACCGAUGGCGAAGGCAGCCCCCUGGGAUAACACUGACGCUCAUGCACGAAAAGCGUGGGGAGCAAACAGG